UUAUAUAAAAGUUAAUUUUAUCAUUGAAUAAACAAAUAUUUCAUAUAGCAGAGUACAAAUGGAGAAUCAAAGUACAAUUGACUUAGAUCAAAAUGAUAAAAUAAAUAAAUGACAAUGGCAAUGUUGAAAGACUGGAUAUGUUGUUGGGAAUAAAUCUAUCAAUUACCGCAAAACAAAUAUGAAUAUGAAAUUUAGUGAAUAUUUAGAUGUUUUCAUCAUUGAGAUGGGAGUAGGAGUAUAGGUUUUGCAAUAAUGGAAACUAAUAUUUUAAAAUUUGGUAGCAUUCUUUGUAUGAGCAUUUCCUGGAAUCACAAAAAUGAGUCUCACAUUAUUUUAUCAAUGCAUUUGAUCAACAACUGCAAGAAUAAUUGCACACACAUUUUUGACUUACAGUACAUAGAAAUGAAAACAAAAUUAUAACCGAUAAAUUGGUAAAGAAAAAUUCAAAGAUUUUUUCACCAAUUACCAUUGUAUUAAAUAUUUGAGACCUUCGUAUACCAAGA
rnacentral:lncRNA from 1 species